rnacentral:rRNA from 1 species
AAUGAACGCUGGCGGCGUGCCUAACACAUGCAAGUCGUACGAGAAAGGGGCUUCGGCCCUGAGUAGAGUGGCGCACGGGUGAGUAACGCGUGGGUAAUCUACCCUUGGAUUUGGGAUAACUCUGCGAAAGUGGAGCUAAUACCGGAUAGUCUGGCUUUUAAUAGAAGUCGGUAAAGGAUGCCUCUGCAUAUGCAUUCGUCCGAGGAUGAGCCCGCGUCUCAUUAGCUAGUUGGUAGGGUAAUGGCCUACCAAGGCAACGAUGAGUAGCUGGUCUGAGAGGAUGAUCAGCCACACUGGAACUGAAACACGGUCCAGACACCUACGGGUGGCAG